CAGUCGAGCGGAAAGGCCUUUCGGGGUACUCGAGCNNNNNNCGGGUGAGUAACACGUGAGUAACCUGCCCUGGACUUUGGGAUAACCCUCGGAAACGGGGGCUAAUACCGGAUAUGACAGCUCACCGCAUGGUGUGGUUGUGGAAAGUUUUUCGGUCUGGGAUGGGCUCGCGGCCUAUCAGCUUGUUGGUGGGGUGAUGGCCUACCAAGGCGACGACGGGUAGCCGGCCUGAGAGGGCGACCGGCCACACUGGGACUGAGACACGGCCCAGACUCCUACGGGAGGCAGCAGUGGGGAAUAUUGCACAAUGGGCGGAAGCCUGAUGCAGCGACGCCGCGUGAGGGAUGACGGCCUUCGGGUUGUAAACCUCUUUCAGCAGGGACGAAGCGCAAGUGACGGUACCUGCAGAAGAAGCGCCGGCCAACUACGUGCCAGCAGCCGCG
rnacentral:rRNA from 1 species